GUGCCAGCAGCCGCGGUAAUACGGAGGGUGCAAGCGUUAAUCGGAAUUACUGGGCGUAAAGCGCAUGCAGGCGGCCUGUUAAGUCAGAUGUGAAAGCCCGGGGCUUAACCUCGGAAUUGCAUUUGAAACUGGCAGGCUAGAGUCUUGUAGAGGGGGGUAGAAUUUCAGGUGUAGCGGUGAAAUGCGUAGAGAUCUGAAGGAAUACCAGUGGCGAAGGCGGCCCCCUGGACAAAGACUGACGCUCAGAUGCGAAAGCGUGGGGAGCAAACAGGAUUAGAAACCCCGGUAGUCC
rnacentral:rRNA from 1 species